rnacentral:rRNA from 1 species
GACAGAGGGGGCAAGCGUUGCUCGGAAUUACUGGGCGUAAAGGGUGCGUAGGCGGGUCUUUAAGUCAGGGGUGAAAUCCUGGAGCUCAACUCCAGAACUGCCUUUGAUACUGAAGAUCUUGAGUUCGGGAGAGGUGAGUGGAACUGCGAGUGUAGAGGUGAAAUUCGUAGAUAUUCGCAAGAACACCAGUGGCGAAGGCGGCUCACUGGCCCGAUACUGACGCUGAGGCACGAAAGCGUGGGGAGCAAACAGG